rnacentral:rRNA from 1 species
UACGGAGGUUGCGAGCGUUAAUCGGAAUUACUGGGCGUAAAGCGUGCGCAGGCGGUUAUGUAAGACAGAGGUGAAAUCCCCGGGCUCAACCUGGGAACUGCCUUUGUGACUGCAUGACUAGAGUACGGCAGAGGGGGAUGGAAUUCCGCGUGUAGCAGUGAAAUGCGUAGAUAUGCGGAGGAACACAGAUGGCGAAGGCAAUCCCCUGGGCCUGUACUGACGCUCAUGCACGAAAGCGUGGGGAGCAAACAGG